CGGGGAGGUAGUGACGAAAAAUAACAAUACAGGACUCUAACGAGGCCCUGUAAUUGGAAUGAGUACAUUCUAAAACUUUUAACGAGUAUCCAUUGGAGGGCAAGUCUGGUGCCAGCAGCCGCGGUAAUUCCAGCUCCAACAGUGUAUGCUAAAGUUGUUGCGGUUGAAAAGCUCGUAGUUGGAUCUAGGGCGGGCGCCGCCGGUCCGUCGCAAGGCGUGUCACUGGCGGCGUGUGCCUUGCCUUCGGUUCUCCGUCGGUGCUCUUGACUGAGUGUCGGCGGUGGCCGAUAAGUUUACUUUGAAAAAAUUAGAGUGUUCAAAGCAGGCUGUUCGCCUGCAUAGUGUUGCAUGGAAUAAUGGAAUAGGACCUCGGUUCUAUUUUGUUGGUUUUCGGAGCACGAGGUAAUGAUUAAGAGGGACAGACGGGGGCGUCCGUACUCUGCCGUUAGAGGUGAAAUUCUUGGAUCGGCGGAAGACGAACUACUGCGAAAGCAUUCGCCAAGAAUGUUUUCUUUAAUCAAGAGCGAAAGUCAGAGGUUCGAAGACGAUCAGAUACCGUCCUAGUUCUGACUAUAAACGAUGCCAACUAGCGAUCGGGAGGCGUUACCAUGACGACCUUCCCGGCAGCUUCCGGGAAACAAAAGUCUUUGGGUUCUGGGGGAAGUAUGGUUG
rnacentral:rRNA from 1 species